rnacentral:lncRNA from 1 species
GUUUGAUCUCAGACCGCCGUGCUAGCAAUCAGCGAGACUCCAUGGGUGUAGGACCCCCCAUUCCCAGCCAGAUGUGGGAUAUAAUCUCGUGGUGCGCCGUUUUUUAAGCUCGUGGGAAAUGCGCAGUAUUUGGGUGGGAGUGACCCGAUUUUCCAGGUGCGUCCGUCACCCCUUUAUUUGACUAGGAAAGGGAACUCCGUGACCCCUUGCGCUUCCUGAGUGAGGCAAUGCCUCGCCCUGCUUCGGCUCACGCACGGUGCACGCACCCACUGACCUGCGCCCACUGUCUGGCACUCCGUAGUGAGAUGAACCCGGUACCUCAGGUGGAAAUGAAGAAAUCACCCGUCUUCUGCGUCGCUCAGGCUGGGAGCUGUAGACCGGAGCUGUUCCUAUUCGGCCAUCUUGGCUCCUCCCCGUGACUUUCAAAUAAAACUAAUAUCCCAGAUGGCUGACUAGAUACAGCCAGAAGGAACAUCUGUCACUGAGAAAUUGGGACAUCAGGAAUACUGGCACACCAUGAGUAGACCUUCGGAGGGAAGGCAUUGAGAAUGGAUGGAGAGAGGACACAGAUGCUGGGUUGAAGCGGGAGGAAGCUGGGAAUCCUGCACAGGGCUACUGAGCACUGGGAAAUGUUCCUGGCCCCCAGAAAUUUCUGGGGAAAGGGUGAGUACAACAGGAAAAAAGUGGCCCACUCUCACCACGGACCUCUGGCAUCUUGGUAGUAGGAGACCCCACAACCCCGAUGGACACUUGAGCUGUGAGAGAGCUGCUUAAAGGGAUGUUAGGGGCAAGAUUUCAGCCUAUGUGGAGCCCAGAGCAUUUGGUAUGGGAACGUAUGCAGUUGAUCAUGGCCAGGGAGAUGCAUCCCCCAAGUCUCACCAUGUUCCCGUAAGAGACAUUAGCCUUGGGCUGGCUUUUGGACCCAGACACAGCAGGGAAGUCUUGCCCAUGAGAUGAGGCAAAUUCAAUCUGAACACAGUCAUGUCUGCUUGCCUCUCCAGGGCCCCAGCCUGUCCAUGCCCAGUUGCCAUGCAGCCUCAGAUGCUCAAACUGGGUGUGAACUUGCGGCCUUCAUCAUAGCUCCUUUAAUGACAGAUUAUGCCUGACCUUCAGAGAGCUCCAACAGAGUAGCCUCUGCUGACAUUCACCAGUCCAACAGCAUCCUCCCUCAACUGCAGCCUCCCCUGUGCCACUUUGUAGGCACACACAUGCCCAUGGCCAACCAUUCAUUGCUUUGCUGGCAUGGGUGAAUGGGUAGACUGCAGCUCCCUUUCCCCACCAGCAUGUGUGUGUGCAUGCACCCUGUCACGCCACUGCUGGUGGCAAGAGCAAAUCCCUUGUGCUCGACCACUGAUAUGUAGACAUUGGGCCACAUUGCCAUUGCAAGCGUGAAUGCAUGUAUGGAUGCCAGAAACCCUGCUCCCUCUUGUGCUGACACUGCUGCUGAUACAAACACACACAUGGAUGUGGGCCAGCAUCCCCACUCCCCUACGUUACCAUUGCUGUUGCUGCAAAUGUGUGCAUGGAGGUAGCCUUACAUCAGCCAGCACCCUGCCCCAACUGUUGCCACCAGUGUGACAGUGAGCAUACACACCAGCAACCCCAUGCCUACCAGUACCCUGCCCCUCUAUGCCACUGACAGCACUGGCAUGAAUCCAUGCAGAAAUGCAGCAGUCCUGCUCUUACCAGUACUCCACCCCAGCCAACUUGUGUGCAUCUUGUCAUACUGCCACAGCUGCUGUACUCACAAGCAAGCAUGAAUCCUGCUGCCACUUACCUGACAAUGUGCUUUGGCUGGCAUCACCCAUUGGAAUGUUGUGGUUAGCAGACUGAGAACACAUCAGUCUCUCUAGUGAAGCAGGUUCAUAACCUUGAAGGGCCAGAGAACCAAGGCAAUGGCCUGGUACCAGGCCCCCAGAGUUAGUGCACACAGCCCAGGAUUGCUGAGCGGAGACUUGCCCCCCUAAAAUCUUCCAGAAAUGAAGCCAGUCAACUGAGUCCACCUUAUACCAAAAUCAAACCCUCAAGGGCAUCAAAGAAGAUAAAAGGAAAGGAAACUCAUCCAAAAGAUAACAACUUCGAAGAUUGAAGGAACAUCAGCCCACACAGAAGAGAAACAACCAGCACAAGAACUCUGGAAACUCAAAAAGUCAGAGUGUCUACUAACAUGCAAAUGACUACUCUACUUCUUUAGCCAUGGUUCUUAACAAGGCCAAAAUGACUGAAAUUACAGAAAUAGUGUUCAGAAUAUGGGUAGGAACAAAAAUCAUUGAGAUUCAGCAGAAAUUCAAAUCCCAAUGCAUGGAACCUUCAGAAUAAAUGAAAAUGAUACAGGUGAUGAAAGAUAAAAUAGUCAUUUUUAAAAAGAAACAAACUGGACAGAGGUGAAAAACUCACUACAAGAAUUUCAUGAUACAAUCACAAGUAUUAACAGCAGAAUUGACCAAACUUAGUAAAGAAUCUCAGAGUGAAAAGAGUGGUUCUCUGAAAUAAGUCAAUCAGACAAAGAUUUUAAAAAAUAAUGAAGGAUAAACAAACACUCUAAGAAAUAUGGGAUUAUAUAAGGAGACCAAAUCUGAUUCAUUGGUGUCCUUGAAAGAGAGUGAGGGAAAGUAAGCAACUUGAAAAUAAUUUGAGAAUAUCAUCCUUGAAAAUCAGCCCAAACUUGCUAAAGAGGCCAACAUUCAACUUCAGGAAACGCAGAAGAACCUUGCAAGACACUAUGCAAGAUGACCACACCUAAGACACAUAGUCAUCAGACUUUCUAAGGUUACCAUGAAAGAAAAGAUGUUAAAGAUACAUAGAGAAAAGUGGCAAGUCACCUACAAAUGAAACCCAAUCAGGCUAACAGUGGACCUUUCAACAAAAUCCUACAAGCCACAGGAGAUUGGAGGUCUAUAUUCAGCACUAUUAAAGAAAACAAGUUCCAAACAAAAAUUUCAUAUUCAAUCAAACUAAGUUUCAUAAGCAAAGGAAAAAUAAGAUCCAUUUCAGAUAAGCAAAUGUAUGUGAAUUUGUAACCUACCACCACGUCAGACUUACAAGAGGUCAUCAAAGGAGUGCUAAAUAUGGAAAGGAAAGAUUGUUAUUGGCCACCACAAAAAUUCACUUGUGUUCAUAGGCCAUUGAAACUUUAAAUCAAUCAUGGGAUCAAGUCUACAUAAUAACCAGCUAACAAGAUGAUGACAGAAUCAAAAGUGCACAUAUCAAUAUUAAACUUGAAUGUAAACAGGGUAAAUGACCAAAUUAGAAGGCACAGAGUGGUAAGUUGCAUAAAGAAGCAAGACCCAAUUGUAUGCUGUCUUCAAGAGACACAUCUCACAGCCAAUGACAUGCAUAGGCACAAAGUAAAGGGAUGUAGAAAAAUCUACCAAGAAAAUUCCCCCAAAAUUGGAGGUUGUUAUUCUAAUUUCAGACAAAACAGACUUUAAACCAACAAUGAUUUUAAAAGACAAAGAAGGGCAUUACAUAAGGGUAAAAGGUUCUAUUCAACAAGAAGACUGAACUUUCCUAAAAAUAUAUGCCACUCAACACAGUGGCACCUGGGUUAAUGAAGUAAGUCCUUAGAGAUCUAUGAUGAGAUUUAGAUCAUGACAAAAUAUAAAGAUGAGAACACUCCACUGAGAUUAUUAGACAGAUCAUCUAGGCAGAAAACUAACAAAGAUACAUGAGACCUGAACUCAACACUUGACUAAACAGACCUAACAGACAUCUAUAGAACCCUUAGCCUCCAACCCAAUAGGAUAUACAUUCUUCUCAUCUGCAUAUGGCACAUAUUCUAAAAUCAACCACAGAAUCAGCUAUAAAGAAUUCUCAGCAGAGUCAAAAACACUAAAAUCAUGCCAACCACACUCUUGGAUUACAGAGCAAUAAAAAUAGAAAUAAAUACUAAGAAAAUCACUUGAAACCAUACAAUUAUAUGGAAAUUAAACAAAGAAAACCCCAUAGUCUCUGCCCCAAAGCUCCAAAUCUGAUAAAGAACUUCAGCAAGGUUUCAGCAUACAAAUCAAUUUACAAAAGUUAGUAACAUUCCUAUACACCUACACUGAAGCUGAGAGCCAAAUCAAGAACACAAUCCCAUUCACAGUAGCCACAAAAAUAAUAAGAUACCUAGGAAUAUAACUAACCAAGAGGUGAAAGAUCUUUACUAUAAGAAUUACAAAACACUGCUCAAAGAAAUCAAAGCUGACAAAAACAAGUGAUAAAACAUUCCAUACCCAUGGACAGGAAGAAUCAAUAUUGUUAAGAUGGCCAUACUGCCAAAAACAAUUUACAGAUUCAAUCUUAUUUCUAACUACUAAUGAUAUCUUUCAGAUAGUUAGACAAAGCCAUUUUAAAAUUCAUAUAGAACAAAAAAAAAAAAAGAGCUCAAAGUGCCAAGGCAAUCCUAAGCAAAAAGAACAAAGCUAGAGGCAACAUAUUACCUGGUUUCAAGCUAUACCACAGGGCUACAGAAACCAAAACAGCAUGGUACUGGUACAAAAACAGACACAUAGAUCAAUGGACCAGCACAGAGAACCCAGAAAUAAGACCACACAGCUACAACUAACUGAUGUUCGACAAAAGUGACCAAAAUGAGCAAUGGGGAAAGGAUUCCCUACUCAAUAAGUAGUGCUGGGAUAACUGGCUAGCUAUAUGCAGAAGAUUGAACAUGAACCUAUUCCUUUCAUUAUAUACAUAAAUCAACUAAAGAUGGAUUAAAGUCUUAAAAAUAAACCUAAAACUAUAAAAAGCUCUAGAUGAAAACCUAAGAAAUACCAUUCUGGACAUAGGCUCUGGCAAAUAUUUCAUACAAAGACACCUAAAGCAAUCACAACAAAAGCAAAAAUUGACAAAUGGGACUUAAAUACAUUAAAGAGCAGCUUCUUCACAGCAAAAGUAACUAUCCACAGAGUAAACAGAUCACAUAAAGGAUGGGAGAAAAUAUUGACAAACUAUGCAUCUGACAAAGACCUUAUAUCCAGAAUUCUAUAAGCAAGUCAAGCAAAUUAGAAAGCAAAAAAUAAAAAAAAAUUAAAAGAGGGCAAAGUACAUAAAGUGACACUUCUCAAAAGAAGACACAUAUAUGGCCAACAAGCACAUGAAAAAAUGCUCAACAUCACUAAUCAUUAGAGAAAUGCAAAUCAAAACCACAAUUAGAUAUCAUCUCACAACAGUCAGAAUGGCUGUUAUUAAAAAGUAAAAAAUUACAGAUGUUGCUGAGGCUGCAGAGAAAAGCACUUUUGGUGGGAAUGUUAAAUUAGUUCUGCCAUUGUGGAAAGCAGCUUGGUGAUUCCUCAAAAAACUUAAGGCAGAAUUACCAUUCCACACAGCAAUCCCUUUAUUGGGUAUAUACCCAAAGGAAUAGAAACCGUUUUACAAUAAAUACAUAUGCAUGUGUAUGUUCAUUGCAGCACUAUUCACAACAGCAGAGAAAUGGAAUCAACCUAAAAUCCAUUAAUGGUAGACUGGAGAAAGAAAAUGUUGUACAUAUAUAUCAUGAAAUACUACACAACUGUAAAAAAUAACCAGAUUAUGUCAUUUGCAGCAACACAGAUGGCGCUGGAGGAACCAACAGAGGAACUUACGCAGAA